rnacentral:lncRNA from 1 species
AAUCUCAUAAUUUUACCAAUACAGAAGAAGUAUAUAAGCCUUUAGCAAAAAUUCUAUAUCGCUAUUUACAUCAAUCACUUGGAUUUACCAAUAAUUUUUUCUACAAGUUAAAGAAAAAAUACAACGUAAAAUAUUCAAUAUCAAAUUAAAGAAUGAGAAGAGUCAAACUAUAUAUCAAAGAAUUAAUUAUCUAAAACAUUUCAUUUCAUCUAUAUAUUCAUUGAAGAUGAGCCUUGGAUCAACCGUAAAGUAGUCUCCGUAUGAUCUAUAUAGGUCAUGAGUUCGACCCGUAGAAUCAACCAUUAACACUUGCUCAUAUAGGAUGCGAUCCUUUUCUCGACCAUGUGUGACAAGGAAUCAUGCACUGAAUUAUCCUUUUUUUCCCAUCUAUAUAUCCAUGAUCAUCAAAACGAAGGUUUUACUUCACCUCCUUAGCUUUCUUGGACGCCACGGAAGCUCUAUAAUGAUCAUCAACGAAAAGCCAAUCAUGCACGUUGAUAGACAUGCCCAUCGACCCUAGGAAAAGUCGAUCAUACACUGAUUGAAGAACAAGAAUUAAGAAAAAUGGAACAAUUUGAGUUUAGACUUGCUCUGGGCAUGGAGCGAAAAUUUGAAGUUUAUGGGCAGGAGCCAUUGCCACGUUGAUCAGGAAUGUUGGUGCAAGAAGAAGAACCAGAUGAUGGAACUUGACCUCUUGGCAACGAUGUCAUCAAUUCAAACACACCCAUAGGCCUAGAUGCUUUUGCUAAUAAUAAGAUAUUUUGAGAUAGAAUAAUGCAGACAAUAAUAAGAAAUAAUGAAAUGAAUCUUCUAACUGAAUCCAUUGUUUUUGGAAGCAGACAAAUAUUUGGAGGUUGUUGGAAUAAUGAGAAUAAUAA